rnacentral:lncRNA from 1 species
GGGAAAGCACACAGAUCCGUUCACCGACUAAAGCAAGGACAGAUUUGGAGCAUUUGUGAUUACAGAAUGACAGGGUUCCAGGAGACUAAGUUUCCGUGAACUUUUUGCCACGGGACUACAUCCAGGUUUUUGGGCCUGUCACAGUGGCCACUACUGGAGUGGGUGUGGCAUCUCAGGGUUGUUUUGAUUUGCAUUUCCCUGAUGUUUAAGGAUAUUGUCCUGGCUGGUAUUGAGUGUCAACUUGACACAGGCUUGAGUUAUCACAAAGAAAGGAGCUUCAGUUGGGGAAGUGCCUCCAUGAGAUCCAGCUGUAAGGCAUUUUCUCAAUUAGUGAUCAAGCGGGAGAGCCCCUUGUGAGUGGUACCAUCUCUGGGCUGGUAGUCUUGAGUUCUAUAAGAGAGCAGGCUGAGCAAGCCAUAGGAAGCAAGCCAGUAAAGAACAUCCCUCCAUGGCCUCUGCCUCAGCUCCUGCUUCCUGACCUGCUUGUGUUCCAGUCCUGAUUUCCUUGGUGAUAAACAACAAUGUGGAAGUGUAAACCAAAUAAACCCUUUCCUCUCCCCAACUUGCUUCGUGGUCAUGAUCAUGAUGUUUUGUCCAGGAAUAGAACCCUGUCUAAGACAGAGUUUGAACAUUUUUUCAGGAGCUUCUCAGCCAUUCAGUAUUCCUCAGUUGAGAAUUUGUUUAGCUCAUUACCCCAUUUUUUAAUGGGGUUAUUUGAUUUUCUGGAGUCCAGCUUCUUGAGUUCUUUGUAUAUAUUGGAUAUUAGACCCCUAUCAGAUUUAGGAUGGGUAAAGAUCCUUUCCCAAUCUGUUGGUUUUUUUGUCUUAUUUACAGUAUCUUUUGCCUUACAGAAGCUUUGCAAUUUUAUGAAGUCCAAGUCCCAUUUGUUGAUUCUUGAUCUUACAGCACAAGCCAUGCUGUUCUGAUCAGGAAUAUUUCCCCUGUGCCCAUAUCUGCCAGGCUUUCCCCCACUUUCUCCUCUGUAAGUUUUAGUGUCUGUGGUUUUAGGUGGAGUUCCUUGAUUCACUUAGACUUGAGCUCUGUACAAGGAGAUAAGAAUGGUUCAAUUUGCAUGCUUCUACAUGUUAACCGCCAGUUGAGUCAGCACCAUUUGUUGAAGAUGCUGUCUUCUUUCCACUGAAUGAUUUUAGCUCCUGUCAUAGAUCAAGUAACCAUAGAUGUAUGGGUUCAUUUUUGGGUCUUCAAUUCUAUUCCAUUGAUCUACUUGUCUGUUGCUGUACCAAUACUAUGCAGUUUUUAUCACAAUUGCUCUGUAGUACAGCUUGAGGUCAGGCAUGCUGAUUCCACCAGAGGUUCUUUUAUCGUUGAGAAGAGUUUUUGCUAUCCUAGGUUUUGUUGCUUUUCUAGAUGAAUUUGCAAAUUGCCCUUUCUAACUCAGUGAAGAAUUGAGUUGGAAUUUUGAUGGGAAUUGCAUUGAAUCUGUAGAUUGCUUUCGGCAAGAUAGUAAUUUUGACUAUAUUAAUCCUGCCAAUCAAUGAGCAUGGGAGAUCUUUCCAUCUUCUAAGACCUUCCUUGAUUUCUUUCUUCAGAGACUUGAAGUUCUUAUCAUACAGAUCUUUCACUUCCUUAGUUAGAGUCACACCCAGGUAUUUUAUAUUAUUUGUGACUAUUAUGAAGGGUAUUGUUUCCCUAAUUUCUUUCUCAGCCUGUUUAUCCUUUGUGUAGAGAAAGGCCAUUGAUUUGUUUGAGUUAAUAUCAUAUCCAGUUUUCUAACUAAAGCUGUUUAUCAGGAUUAGGAGUUUUCUGGUGGAAUUUUUGGGGUCACUUAUAUAUACUAUCAUAUUAUCUGCGAAUAGUAAUAUUUCGACUUCUUCCUUUCCAAUUUGUAUCCCCCUUGAUCUCCUUUUGUCUAAUUGCUCUGGCUAGGACUUCAAGUACUAUAUUGAAUAGGUAGGGAGAAAGUGUGCAGCCUUGUAUAGUCCCUGAUUUAAGUGGGAUUGCUUCAAGUUUCUCUCCAUUUAGAUUGAUGUUGGCUACUGGUUUGGUGUAUUUUAUUAUGUUUAGGUACGUGCCUUGAAUUCCUGAUCUUUCCAAGACUUUUAUCAUGAAUGGGUGUUGGAUUUUGUCAAAUGCUUUCUCAGCAUCUAAGGAGAUGAUCAUGUGGUUUGUUUCUUUGAGUUUGUUUAUAAAAUGGAUUACAUUGAUGGAUUUCUGUAUAUUAAAGCAUCCCUGCAUCCCUGGGAUGAAGCCUAUUGAUCAUGAUGGAUGAUCGUUCUGAUGUGUUCUUAGAUUCAGUUUUUGUGAGAGACCAAACUGUGGGAAACUAGACCCCCAACAACUCUCACCCUGAAGAUCCAGCUGACCCUUUGGUGGGAAUUAUGUCACCCCCCUCCUUCUUUGUCUCCACCUGGCAUCUGGGACUGCCAGUUUCACUCCCUCCUUCAUGUAUCCACUUGGUGCCUAGAACUGCUUAGAUAAAACUAGCUUCACUUCUUCCUCCAUGUCUCCAUUUGGUGCCCGGGACUGUUUAUGGCACUCCAAGAUAAACUGCAGAAUGUUUGAAGGUUUCCCGGGACUGUUUUAGGGCCGACAUUCCAAGAUAAACUGCAAGAAGCCUGCAAUCAGCAUCCACCCCAGAUGUUCAUCCUUUUCUCUGUAUUUUAUUAUACCCCCUCGACCCCUCCCUAUUUUCUCUCACAGUGUGCUUAUAACCAGGCUCUUAGCCUCCAUUAAACAGAACU